ACCGGGGGAGGGUCAUUGGAAACUGGGGAACUUGAGUGCAGAAGAGGAGAGUGGAAUUCCACGUGUAGCGGUGAAAUGCGUAGAGAUGUGGAGGAACACCAGUGGCGAAGGCGACUCUCUGGUCUGUAACUGACGCUGAGGCGCGAAAGCGUGGGGAGCGAACAGGAUUAGAUACCCUGGUAGUCCACGCCGUAAACGAUGAGUGCUAAGUGUUAGAGGGUUUCCGCCCUUUAGUGCUGCAGCAAACGCAUUAAGCACUCCGCCUGGGGAGUACGGUCGCAAGACUGAAACUCAAAGGAAUUGACGGGGGCCCGCACAAGCGGUGGAGCAUGUGGUUUAAUUCGAAGCAACGCGAAGAACCUUACCAGGUCUUGACAUCCUCUGACAACCCUAGAGAUAGGGCUUCCCCUUCGGGGGCAGAGUGACAGGUGGUGCAUGGUUGUCGUCAGCUCGUGUCGUGAGAUGUUGGGUUAAGUCCCGCAACGAGCGCAACCCUUGAUCUUAGUUGCCAGCAUUCAGUUGGGCACUCUAAGGUGACUGCCGGUGACAAACCGGAGGAAGGUGGGGAUGACGUCAAAUCAUCAUGCCCCUUAUGACCUGGGCUACACACGUGCUACAAUGGGCAGAACAAAGGGCAGCGAAGCCGCGAGGCUAAGCCAAUCCCACAAAUCUGUUCUCAGUUCGGAUCGCAGUCUGCAACUCGACUGCGUGAAGCUGGAAUCGCUAGUAAUCGCGGAUCAGCAUGCCGCGGUGAAU
rnacentral:rRNA from 1 species